UACGGAGGGUGCAAGCGUUAAUCGGAAUUACUGGGCGUAAAGCGUGCGCAGGCGGUUUGUUAAGUCCGCUGUGAAAUCCCCGAGCUCAACUUGGGAAUUGCAGUGGAUACUGGCAAGCUGGAGUACGGUAGAGGAAGGCGGAAUUCCCGGUGUAGCAGUGAAAUGCGUAGAGAUCGGGAGGAACACCAGUGGCGAAGGCGGCCUUCUGGACCAGUACUGACGCUCAUGCACGAAAGCGUGGGGAGCGAACAGG
rnacentral:rRNA from 1 species